GGAUUAGAUACCCUGGUAGUCCACGCCGUAAACGGUGGGCGCUAGGUGUGGGUUCCUUCCACGGAAUCCGUGCCGUAGCUAACGCAUUAAGCGCCCCGCCUGGGGAGUACGGCCGCAAGGCUAAAACUCAAAGGAAUUGACGGGGGCCCGCACAAGCGGCGGAGCAUGUGGAUUAAUUCGAUGCAACGCGAAGAACCUUACCUGGGUUUGACAUAUACCGGAAAGCUGCAGAGAUGUGGCCCCCCUUGUGGUCGGUAUACAGGUGGUGCAUGGCUGUCGUCAGCUCGUGCC
rnacentral:rRNA from 1 species